AGCUUUGUGCAGUGGCAGUAUCGCAGCCAGUGAGGUUUAUCUGAGGUGUGAUUAUUGCUAAAUGAAAACUUUUCUAUUGUGUAUAGAACUUAAUUGUGUGUUUCCUAGCUGGCAACUUGUUGCAAAAGAUUUCUUUCU
rnacentral:snRNA from 1 species